rnacentral:rRNA from 1 species
AUGUACGGAUUACAAGGUGCCGAACCCUUCUGCCUGUGGAGGGGGGUGGCUUAUAUAGAGUGCGCCAGGACCCCAGCCAGCCCACGUAGGAGAGGGUUUAAGAUGUGUGCAGAAAGAUACACAGCAACUGAAGAUUUACUGAAGCUUUCUGGUCGUCUUCGGCUGAUAAUGGCACAGGUUGACAAGGAUGUGAAAGAUGUAUCGGCGAAGGCCGCAGUCCAAUCUGAUGAAGAGGAAGAAGAUGAAAUUGAUGAAAUGGUGUAUGGUGAAGACGUGGAUUUGUCUGAAAACAGUGACGAUGAUGCUGAGUAG